GGGCCCGUAGCUUAGUCCGGUGGAGCGUCAGGCUCAUAACCCGAUGGUCGUCGGUUCAAAUCCGACCGGGCCCACCA
rnacentral:tRNA from 1 species